rnacentral:lncRNA from 1 species
GUAGUAGCCCUAUAUAGACCCAUGAAUUUAUAUAGGGAGUAUGGACGAGUGUAAAUACAUACAUAUAUUAUAGAGUCUGAGAGGCUCGAUAUUUUAUGGGAUAAAGGUUUUAUCGCUUGCGGCAUGCAUUCGAUUUUUCCUUAGAAUUAAUUUGGGGAAACAUAAAUAUUUUAAUUAUUAAUUUAUUUUUGUCCACUCACUCUAACGUUAUUAAAUGUUUUUCUCCUGGGCCCUUCGUUUUAAAUUGCCCAGUCUGCAGAGUUCGGGUUGGAUCUAGUAGGAGACGAGGCAUAGUCACCCGCUUUUCGGCCAGUUUUCAUCAGUAGGUUACCUGUUCAACCUACUUGUGUUUUCUUGCUUCCGCUUGUGUUUAGUAGCUCUGAAUACUUUAGAAUUUUGUAUAUUAUGUGAUAUUCAGAAGCGUUAAAUUAAGAGUGUAAUAUGAAAUUUUUGAGUUAGGGUUGUCCAUCUGCAAGGGAGAUUUUCUUAAUCUUUUCAGUAAAUUUUCCUUGGAGGUGGUCCCCGCACGACUUACUCUGGGUUUCAGGGUGAAAUUCGGGGUGGGUCGUAUCAAUUCUGCUCUUUAGUCUUAACCAGCAAAUAAACAUGGCUCAGGCGUUAGCAUAGCAGGACUGAAGUUAGAGGAAUCUUGGACUGCUUAAGAAAUGAAGUUGGGCUAUGUUAAUCUUGUGAAACAAAACAUGCCCUUAAGGGUUGGGACUUGGGAGAAGCUCCUGAUAUAGUUCAUCAGGAUAUACUAUUCGAGAACUAUAAUUAAUACUUCUAAUUGGAGUUUAAAUACAAUGUUCUCCUCAGUUUAUGCUCACAAUUCUAUGAAUAAAAACAUGUGCGUUGGGUUGAGCUUUCCGGCUUUACAGUUUAAAACCCAAUUUUAGGAAAAAAAGAAAAAGAAAAAAGAAGAACAAUAUAUAUAUAUAUAUAUAUAUAUUUAUAUAUAUAUUAAUCUUUUACUCCAAAUAAUCAAUAAGAUAUGCCUCUUGCAGAUGAACAAUUUUGAAAUAAAA